UGGCCUGUGAAUUCCACAGCCUUGAGCUUUUGACUGAGUUUGCAGUACACACAUGCAUGUGCUGCAUUGGAGCCGGCCUCAAGCCUCCCCGGAGCAUGGCAGUUUCUGGGAUAUAUUAACAUUUAGAUUCUUGAAGUUCUAGGCUUGAGAUCACAGACCUGGGGACUUGGGGUGGUCUGUUCAUUUUGCUGUUAGAGUUCCUAUAGUCUCUCUGCCACUUGAUGUAGAGGAGGAGACCAGGAUCCUAGUGAAAUCACUGGAGGGCUUGAAGCCUGAAGUGUCUGAAGGUUCUGUGAGGGGAGGGUUAGCAAGGUAGGGAAGAGUAAGUUUGGAAACUCCACAUCAUACAUUCCACCGAAGAGCCUAGGAGAAGUGUGCUCCCCAGAUACACCCCCCAUUCCUGUGUUCUUAUUCAAACCAUUUGCUAAAAUGACUGGCUGUUAUGUAAUAAGUCUUAAGAGGUAAUUUAUGACAACAGCAAGAAUAUUGACCCCACGGGUGUGGUGGAACUUGUCUCUAGCCCCAUCACCUCAGAGUCCCAGGCAAAAGGAUCAGGAGUUGAAGGCUGGCCUGAACCUUCUUCUGCCAUCACAUGGAACAGAUGUUGCAUGACAUACAAAGAAGAAUGGCGGCAAUUUCCCAGCCAGUCGUCCUCUCUGCAUUGUUUCCAUUCUUCCCUAUUUGCUUUUAGCUGUGUGAGACCCCUGUUUCCAAAAACAAAGCCAACCCACAAGCAGAUCUGUAUUCCUUCUUUUUAGUCUUUUAGAAAUGGACUUUUAGGUUUACAGAAAGGAGGGAGGCAGCGCAGAGAGUUCCCGUGUAGUUCUCUGCCUCGGUCCCCCUGUUAUUAACAUCUUACAGUACUGUGGCACAUGUGUUGUGAAUUUGUGGACUGACAGCAAGUCCCUGCUCUGUUCACAUGUCUCUAGGUUUGACUGCAAGUCAGAUCUGCCCUGUUUCACUUCCUGCUUUCUCUCCUCACAUGAAACAACUCUUGCUUGACACACAGCAACAUAGGAAAAGCAAGGAAGUUUCCCUGGAUAACCCCCAUCUUAUUUCCAUCGUUAUUAGUAUUCUUCCCUAUUUUCCUGAGCUAAAUACAAAUAUAUAAAUAUAAAUAUAUAUAUAUGUAUACACACACACAUCAUUAUAGUUUUGACAAGCUGUUUUGAAGCAAAUUAUACAUCUACAACAUCCAAAAUAAAGAAACAGCAUUAUUUAGAAACAGUACCAUUAUCAUUCCCAACAACAUUAAUGCUGGCUCCUAAAUGCUACUUAGUAUUUGUUCAUAGUGAGAGUCGCCAAAUAUAAUCUCUUUUAAUAUCUUGAAAUAAUUUUAAAUUAGAAUCUGGGCAGAGGACCGUGUGUCUCAUUGUGCUUUCUCAUCAGCACUGACGUCUGUUUAGCUUGCAAGUGAGAUAGCAAGGAAGGCCUGAGGCUCCGGAGCAUAGGGAGGUUGUGGCAGUCCCUCGCACCACCCCUCUCUAUUGUAGUGUGAUUUAAAAAAAAAAAAAAAACAAAAACCAACCAACCAACCAAACAAACAAACAAACAAAAAACAAUGCACAUUUCAAUAAAAUAAAUGGGUAAAGUCCAAAUGAAUCCUGACUUUCCCCCUCUCGGGGUGAUGCCUGAAGCUGGUUUUGAAAUCUCAAGUGAUCACAUUUGCCCAGCUCGACAAAUGCUUCCUUAUUUUAGAUAAGAAGCCAGACUCAGAAUUCGGUGUACAGUGACGCAUUGUUUUCUGUUGAGCCCACGUCCCCUGGGUCUCAGCUUCCCAGAUAGGAAACCACAUCCUGAAUAGCACUGAGUAGACACCACAGACAUGAUUUGUGGCUCCGCUGCAUUUGCAAGCCUUAUAUAAGUCUUGGUUUUAAUCCUUAGGGUGGAGUUUCACAGCGAGUUUCACAAUUUUCCUUUAAGGCC
rnacentral:lncRNA from 1 species